UGGUGGAGUGAUUUGUCUGCUUAAUUGCGAUAACGAACGAGACCUUAACCUGCUAAAUAGCCGGGCUCGCUUUUGCGAGAUUCUGGCUUCUUAGAGGGACUAUCGAAUCAAAGUCGAUGGAAGUUUGAGGCAAUAACA
rnacentral:rRNA from 1 species